rnacentral:rRNA from 1 species
GACGAACGCUGGCGGCGUGCCUAAUACAUGCAAGUCGAACGCUUCUUUCCUCCCGAGUGCUUGCACUCAAUUGGAAAGAGGAGUGGCGGACGGGUGAGUAACACGUGGGUAACCUACCCAUCAGAGGGGGAUAACACUUGGAAACAGGUGCUAAUACCGCAUAACAGUUUAUGCCGCAUGGCAUAAGAGUGAAAGGCGCUUUCGGGUGUCGCUGAUGGAUGGACCCGCGGUGCAUUAGCUAGUUGGUGAGGUAACGGCUCACCAAGGCCACGAUGCAUAGCCGACCUGAGAGGGUGAUCGGCCACACGGGGACUGGAACACGGCCCAGACUCCUACGGGAGGCAGCAGUAGGGAAUCUUCGGCAAUGGACGAAAGUCUGACCGAGCAACGCCGCGUGAGUGAAGAAGGUUUUCGGAUCGUAAAACUCUGUUGUUAGAGAAGAACAAGGACGUUAGUAACUGAACGUCCCCUGACGGUAUCUAACCAGAAAGCCACGGCUAACUACGUG